CCCAAUGUUUUGGAAUAACCGCGGGAAACUGCGGCUAAUACCGGAUAAGCCCGAGAGGGGAAAGAUUUAUCGCCGAUGGAGGGGCCCGCGUCCGAUUAGGUAGUUGGUGGGGUAAUGGCCUACCAAGCCUACGAUCGGUAGCUGGUCUGAGAGGAUGAUCAGCCACACUGGGACUGAGAUACGGCCCAGACUCCUACGGGAGGCAGCAGUGGGGAAUAUUGGACAAUGGGGGCAACCCUGAUCCAGCAAUGCCGCGUGAGUGAUGAAGGCCUUAGGGUUGUAAAGCUCUUUUGGCGGGGACGAUGAUGACGGUACCCGCAGAAUAAGCC
rnacentral:rRNA from 1 species